rnacentral:rRNA from 1 species
CGAAUGCUGACAUAAGUAACGAUAAAGCGGGUGAAAAGCCCGCUCGCCGGAAGACCAAGGGUUCCUGUCCAACGUUAAUCGGGGCAGGGUGAGUCGACCCCUAAGGCGAGGCCGAAAGGCGUAGUCGAUGGGAAACAGGUUAAUAUUCCUGUACUUGGUGUUACUGCGAAGGGGGGACGGAGAAGGCUAUGUUGGCCGGGCGACGGUUGUCCCGGUUUAAGCGUGUAGGCUGGUUUUCCAGGCAAAUCCGGAAAAUCAAGGCUGAGGCGUGAUGACGAGGCACUACGGUGCUGAAGCAACAAAUGCCCUGCUUCCAGGAAAAGCCUCUAAGCAUCAGGUAACAUCAAAUCGUACCCCAAACCGACACAGGUGGUCAGGUAGAGAAUACCAAGGCGCUUGAGAGAACUCGGGUGAAGGAACUAGGCAAAAUGGUGCCGUAACUUCGGGAGAAGGCACGCUGAUAUGUAGGUGAAGUCCCUCGCGGAUGGAGCUGAAAUCAGUCGAAGAUACCAGCUGGCUGCAACUGUUUAUUAAAAACACAGCACUGUGCAAACACGAAAGUGGACGUAUACGGUGUGACGCCUGCCCGGUGCCGGAAGGUUAAUUGAUGGGGUCAGCGCAAGCGAAGCUCUUGAUCGAAGCCCCGGUAAACGGCGGCCGUAACUAUAACGGUCCUAAGGUAGCGAAAUUCCUUGUCGGGUAAGUUCCGACCUGCACGAAUGGCGUAAUGAUGGCCAGGCUGUCUCCACCCGAGACUCAGUGAAAUUGAACUCGCUGUGAAGAUGCAGUGUACCCGCGGCAAGACGGAAAGACCCCGUGAACCUUUACUAUAGCUUGACACUGAACAUUGAGCCUUGAUGUGUAGGAUAGGUGGGAGGCUUAGAAGUGUGGACGCCAGUCUGCAUGGAGCCGAACUUGAAAUACCACCCUUUAAUGUUUGAUGUUCUAACGUUGACCCGUGAUCCGGGUUGCGGACAGUGUCUGGUGGGUAGUUUGACUGGGGCGGUCUCCUCCUAAAGAGUAACGGAGGAGCACGAAGGUUGGCUAAUCCUGGUCGGACAUCAGGAGGUUAGUGCAAUGGCAUAAGCCAGCUUGACUGCGAGCGUGACGGCGCGAGCAGGUGCGAAAGCAGGUCAUAGUGAUCCGGUGGUUCUGAAUGGAAGGGCCAUCGCUCAACGGAUAAAAGGUACUCCGGGGAUAACAGGCUGAUACCGCCCAAGAGUUCAUAUCGACGGCGGUGUUUGGCACCUCGAUGUCGGCUCAUCACAUCCUGGGGCUGAAGUAGGUCCCAAGGGUAUGGCUGUUCGCCAUUUAAAGUGGUACGCGAGCUGGGUUUAGAACGUCGUGAGACAGUUCGGUCCCUA